GGCCGGCGAAAGAAGUACACAAAAAAACCCUAGCGCCGCUCUCGUCUGCUUCACAAAAAAUGCCGCCAAAAUUUGAUCCUUCUCAGGUAGUCGAGGUUUUCGUCCGAGUCACCGGAGGUGAAGUCGGAGCGGCGAGUUCACUCGCUCCAAAAAUCGGUCCACUCGGUCUUUCACCGAAGAAAAUCGGUGAAGACAUUGCAAAGGAAACUUCAAAGGAUUGGAAGGGUCUCAGAGUCACAGUCAAGCUCACUGUUCAAAAUCGUCAAGCUAAGGUAUCAGUUGUACCUUCCGCUGCAGCACUUGUGAUCAAAGCUUUGAAGGAACCUGAACGUGACAGGAAGAAGACGAAGAACAUCAAGCAUAACGGUAACAUCUCACUUGAUGACGUCAUUGAGAUUGCUAAGGUGAUGCAGCCUAGAUCUAUGGCGAAGGAUUUGAGUGGAACUGUUAAGGAGAUCUUGGGAACUUGUGUAUCCGUUGGUUGUACGGUAGAUGGAAAGGAUCCUAAGGAUUUGCAGCAAGAGA
rnacentral:misc_RNA from 1 species